AGAACGAACGUUGGCGGCGUGGAUUAGGCAUGCAAGUCGAACGAAUCCCACUGGCGUAGCAAUACGUUGGUGGGGGAAGUGGCGAAAGGGGCAGUAAGGCAUAAGUAACCUACCCUGGGGAUGGGCAUAGCCGGCCUAACGGCCGGGUAAUACCCAGCGAUUUGACGAGGGGGCAUCCCCUUGUCAGGAAACGAGUUUCGCCUCGGGAGGGGCUUAUGUGAUAUUAGCUAGUUGGUGAGGUAACGGCUCACCAAGGCGAAGAUGUCUAGCGGGUGUGAGAGCACGACCCGCGCCACUGGCACUGAGACACUGGCCAGACACCUACGGGUGGCUGCAGUCGAGGAUCUUCGUCAAUGGGCGCAAGCCUGAACGAGCGACGCCGCGUGCGGGAUGAAGGCCUUCGGGUUGUAAACCGCUGUCGAGGGAUCAAGGCGUAAGCUUGAGAGAUCCCUGGAGGAAGCGACGGCUAAGUUCGCGCCAGCAGCCGC
rnacentral:rRNA from 1 species